AACCCAUCCCGAACUCAGCAGUGAAACGGAUCAGCGCCGAUGGUAGUGUGGGGUUUCCCCAUGUGAGAGUAGGUCAUCGCCAAGC
rnacentral:rRNA from 1 species